rnacentral:rRNA from 1 species
UACGGAGGGUGCAAGCGUUAUCCGGAUUCACUGGGUUUAAAGGGUGCGUAGGAGGGCAGGUAAGUCAGUGGUGAAAUCUCCAAGCUUAACUUGGAACUGCCGUUGAUACUAUCUGUCUUGAAUACCGUGGAGGUGAGCGGAAUAUGUCAUGUAGCGGUGAAAUGCUUAGAUAUGACAUAGAACACCAAUUGCGAAGCAGCUCGCUACACGAAUAUUGACUCUGAGGCACGAAAGCG